CAGUUGUACAAGUCAAAACUCAGACGUAGGCAGUUUCUCCUGCGAUUGCACAGAUGUUUGGGGUGAGUCCCCAACAAUUAAAAGGCAGCGUUAUGUCAUGGUGAUUAAUCGUGGGCUGACACCGUUUCACACUGACAGACCAAAGGAGCGGAAAUAAUUCUGAUCGUUUAUCACCCGGCGUGACUUCCUUUCCUCACAUUUUCUUUUCUCGUCCAGUGGUUAAAACUAUGUUCAGAGUUUUUAAAGCAAACUCUGAACUUCCAAGCCAAGGGAGUUAAGUCCAGGAAAGAGCCACCUUUCUUAGGAAAUGGCAAGCAACCUUUGUGUGCUUUGGGCGCCGCCUCCACUCGGUUCCUGUUUUUCCUCCCCGAGGCCGCCCUGGUGGGGUUAGGUGGCAAGGAUGCCUGUGGAGGAAGCAUCCCUGAGAGCCUGCUCGAAGCCUGCGGGUCCCAGAAGCCACAGCUACUUAAAGUUCCUCCAGAUCUUGACUGCACAUGCUGGUGCUAUAAACCAGGGCUUCAAACAGCAAACCUUAGAGGAAUGUGCUGGCUGGGGUAUACAUCUGUGCCUUCUUUCUGUAGUAAAAAAGUCACACUGCAGCUGCUGGGUUUAGGAGUUAGAACAGGAUCCAUUGCUAUGCAAACAAACUCUUUGUAUAAGAGUAUGUAAGGUUCUGGGUUCAAUCCUCACUUCAAACAAAACACCCUUGAAAGAUUUCCUUUAAGACACUGGCUCCAACUGUAAGGAUUAUGCUGGCUGCCCCUGUCACCUGGCAGAAUGCACUCAGGCAGUGACCUGGUCAGCCCAGGAUUCCAUGAGUACUAGUCUGCACCAGGUGCAAAGGACCCCUUUAAAAGAAAGACCCCGCCCACUUAUGCCCUCUUUCCCGCUCUUCCCCUGGGCCAGGAGUUCAUUAAUGUGUGCCUGAGUCAAAAUACCAUUAAUUAAAUUGCACAUGGAGACUAUCCAUAUGCACAUCUUCGUGUCAGAGGAAGAAGAAGCACACAUGGGGGAAACUGGAGCGUUCCGGCUUUCCUUGGUUUGCACCCAGACUUUUGAAUUAGAAAUGAAAUACCUUGUUGUGCCUACAGAGAGAACCACCUUUCUGCACCUGUGUAGCAGUGCACUUGGACUCCAAGUCAGAGUUUUGAGGAGCACCACUGUGCUCCUCUGGGAGUCCUAUUUCCUCACCUGACAUUAGAGGCUGGAUCAGAUUGUCUUCCUCUGGCUAGCCAUUGGUUGAGCUCGGCCUUGGGGUUAUAACUCUUGCUCCUUUGCCUGUUUGUUCCUCUAGUUAAUCAAACAGAUAAGCUUAGGUGACCUUAGGGCAAGCCCUUUAGCUAUCAAUAACCGUAGCUAUCUGUGUCACAUGCCGGAUAUCCCAAGGCCAGCUGGAGGUGCAGGUGGGAAGAAGCUGUGGUUUUCAGCCGUGCCCCUCCUGCGCAUGUUUCUCCCUAUCUGCACAAGUUCCUGGACUUAGCCUUUCUGUGACAGGAAGGCCAGAGUGUGCCUUUCUUGGUCUGGCAGUACUAGAGAGCAGCAGCGCUACAGAAUAAACAUUUUUAAAAAGAAGAAAGGGCCACCCGCUAUUAAAGAAUAAUAAAGGAUUGCCAAGAACGCAGUUCAUAAGUCAAAAUGACUGCCUUAAGAACUUCGGGAACACUUUCAUUAAGUGCUUACGUUGUAUAACAGACUUGUGCUUACAUCUUUAAUUGGAAAUAAUAAAAUUCUCUUCCCAUGACUCUUUUGCUGUCCUCUCUCGUGUUUUCUCUUUAUGGGCCUCUCCAGUGCCUACAGUGCUCCGUCUCCCUCAUUGCUCCUACCUUCUCCUCUCUCCCACUCUUCUGGCUUCCUAGCUUUCGGCAGCCUCCCUGUCAUCCUCCUUAGCACUGGUAAAGAUUCAGAGAGGUUGAAACUGUAACUAGAGUCUGGACAAUGUAACAACAUAACACCAAGUAUGCAAGUGCUAGGCACUUUCACUACAGUGGCCUACCAUCAAGCCAACAGUGCCAUUUAAGUCAUUGGCACAGCUACUUGAGGUGACUUGAUAACCUCUAAGAGCUGGUUAUGGGGGUCGGGGACUGGCCUGAAGGACUUCAGCAGCCUGACAGUAUUCAUCACUCAACAGACACCACACCCAAGCUCUGAGACUACUGAGAUGGUUUGCAAAGAGGAGGGUGGAUGGACGGUGCUGCACAGAGACCUUCCUGUGAUAGGUGGUACUUCACUGUGUUCUGCACACACCUCCCUGAAAGCAUGCCAGUCAGCCCUAACUGUAGCCCACACUGCUGCUUCUCCUCAGAAAAUGUGUACGGAGAAAUGGGGGUGAGCCAGUCCAUUUCACUGCUGUUACUAAAGCAGCAACGUAUAAAGAAGCUGCCCGUGUUCAGUUUUAACAGCAGCCAUGGUCUUUCCAGCUGCCCAAGCUACAUGUACUCAUCCCUGCCAGUCCCCCUAUGAACUGGAUAAAGAUUUGCUUGGCAAAUACAUGUCUCAGGCCUAUAGCCCCCAACACAUGCACCCAUUGCCCAGAGGAGUCAGAGCUCCAGAUCAGGUAAUGAGAUCCUGUCCAGUGUUGUUGAUUUUCUGUGAGGCUUUCCCCCCAAAAGUUGUCCUCACUUCCACCACAGAACUAAGUCAAAUGAAAAUAAAUAUAAACGUGACUGUUUAUGUCAAGUUGCCAUUUUCAGCAACACAAUAAUCCUGCUCCAUUACAUUAAUUGUUCAGACAUGGAUUCAGGAUGUGUUAAAGCCUGGGGAUGAUAAUGGACCCUGAAGUACUUCCUUGCAGGAAGUUUUUUUGGAUUAUUCAGACUGUUCCGUUGCUGAAAUGGAGAGUGAAUCCGCCUUUUAUUGCAAAGAGCAUCCUGUCACAUACAUGGAAAACAGGUUCUAUAAUCAGCUAGUGAACCCAGGCAGUGACCACAGGUGGAAGGGAGCAAGCACCCUCUGCUUCCACUCCCAGCAUGCCACGGGGCAGACGAUGCUUUACUGACUGGUUUCUCUUAGUUGUUUCCACCAGGGUUGAUCUAGAAUUUCUAAUGCAGUUAUAGUUGCUUCCUCUGUCCCUUAAACAGCUCUGGCUCUCUUCCCCUUCUGGAACCUUCUGUGUGUGCCCUAUUCAUUUCAGCUGCUGCGCUCUGUGUCCUAACUGGGGUUGGUGGCCUUUUCCCAUCCAUAUCUCAGACAUCUUUCUGUUUACAUAGGGAAUAUUCACUUUUUAAAAACAGUUCUUUUAGGUACAGUAAAUGAGCUGAAGAAAUCAAAGUUUCUUUUUCUUCUGCUGAGCCUCCAGCAAGGAGCAGUGUGAGUCCUAGAUACUCUCUGUGCCAUGAUGCUGCCAUGUCUGCUCAGGCUGCCACAGAGGGGUGAAUGUGGUAGACGUAUCAGGUGUCUGGUGGGGCCCAUAAGAGGCAUGUUUCGCUGUGUGAGUUUCUGUAGCUACUGCAGGUAAUUAUAGUAAACUUGGUGGUUUUAAACCACUAUGAACUUAAAGUCACUAGACAAACAAUUGCGUUUAUUUAAAGUCAAGUGGGAAAUGGUGCACUUUGCUCUUUUUAGUCAUGCCCCUUUGCUUUUAUAUCUCAGUAAAUGCAAAACAAGUCAGUUCUUUCUUCUUGCACAGUCUGGGAAGAGUUCACAGUAGGUUUCAAAAUGCUGAGGUCAAGGUGUGAGCAGGGUUAGCAUCCUCUGGAGCUCUCAGGAAAGCCUUCUUUCUAGGCCUUCUCCAUGUUGAGUUCAUCUGCAUGCCUUGGUUAGUGGCCCCUUCCUCCAUCCCCGCUAUGCCCCUGGCUCCACCUGGCUCAUAAAGAGUAAUCUUAAAUUCAUCUGAUUAGCUUUCUAAUUCCAUCUGCAACCCUAAUUUCGCCUUGCCAUAGAACACAUUUGGGGAAAGGGGACAUUAUACUGUCCACCACAGUUACUCUUCCCCAUUCUGUUGCCCAUGACCCAGCUAAAUGGCCUUAAGCCAAUUGCAACAGAGUCCAGAAGUGGCACCAACCAACACCUAACAGUCCCUGCCUCCAGGAUUUCUGGUGCCAAUUCUCCCCAGCACUUCCAGCAGUGGGUCCUGCUUUCUCUUCUGACUCACAAGGCUGCUCUGUGGCUGCUUCUGCACUCAGACACAGUGGUGGUAGGAAGAUAGACACAACCUUCCUAGACCACACCCUGUCUCUUCAUUUUUCAGCCCCGGAGAGUGAAAGGAGUUGCCGUGUGUGACUUAAAUCACUUAGCACCUCAGCAUCCUGUAUCCUAAGUGCAGAGAGUUUUCAUUUUCCUCUCAGCUUCCUUAGUGAUGAGCUAUCUGAGGUGCAGGAUCAGGGCAUCAGGGAGGGACUGAUAAUUUCAGCACAUAUCACAGAGAGCCUCUGUUGGAACCCUACACAGUCUGGGGCAGAGGGUUCUAUGGGAUCUCCCACAGCUGACAAGCUGAUAGGCCAUACAUCAACACCCAGUGUCUGCACUUGGUUCUGCCCUCUUUCCGCCACCUUUUCCUUACAGAGCUCACAGUCUGGGUUUCAUGAGCACCAUGGAGGGGAGGCCCCUUCCCUGCCCGGUGACAUAGAGACACUCCUAAUAAAGAUAAGCUGCAUUCGUUCCUUUGCCCCGUUCCCUUUCAUCUCAAGCCCGUAUCCCACAUCCCCCCACCUAUCUCACAUAUCCUAGAGGAAGUCCAAUUCCAGCUCCCCUUGCUUACAAGCCUCUACAGUGCACUGUGCUUGAUUCCUAACCUACAAUGUGCUGGUUGCUUUCUUUUGUUCUCCCCACCAAAACAGUCGUCAGAGCCCUUCAACUCUUAAGGGUGGAUUACCUACUUUAGAUACCAUUUUCAACCGCUCUUCUCAAAGAACAACAAGGGCAGCUGCCCUUGCACAACAUGCUUUAUGAUCUGCACUCAAGCUUUUGAGACAUGGUGUGUGUUAUUAAUAGCUAAACCCCCUCCCCAUCAGAUGCUGUGCCCAGUAUCCUGCAGGGUCCUGAAAGACCUUUCUCUCCUCCAUCUACCAUCCUGCUACAGAUUUUCCCAGCCUCUUGCUGAGCCUUAACAAUAACUGCCAGUGACUCCCUCUGAGUUCAGCACUAUGACAGUUGAAGGGAACUUUAGCCAGGGAUGUCUGGGUAGUUAGUCACUGCCCCCUCCAUUUGCUUCCGGGUCUACCCUCUUUCCAUCUGGACAGUUGUUCCACAAAUUGCUUUUUAUUUCAAACUUUUUCCCUUCCUGCAGGUGAUCUGAUGAUCUGGACUUGACUGUAAUCUGUCUGCAUUCUGUGCUUGGAAGGGUUCCUGGUGAUUAAGGACAUAGAUCAUCUAGAUCGGUCUGGUCCAGCUGUGCCUUUUGCAGACUGUGUGCCCCUGGGGGAAACUGGGCCCUAGCACAGGGUGACUGAAGUGUGAUGAUGGUGCCUCGAACAUCGUGACAAUAAACAGGCAGAAGUGGCAGGAUUACCCAGGAUCUGAGAGUCACUGGAAGCGUCCUUACCUAGCCAUGAUUUCGUGAUGAAGGUCAGCUGAUUGCCAACCAUCACCUGCCAGCACCACAGUGGUCUCCUUCCCUGUGGGUUCUGUUACCUCCACGUGAAGGCUGGUGGAAUGCGGAUUGUGCAGAAACACCCACAUACGGGAGACGGGAAGGAAGAGAAGGACAAAGACGAGCAAGAAUGGGAAAGCACCAGGGUUAGAGUCUCCGCACAUACUGCCUCAGACAGACUAAAGACCCGGCUGCUUUCAAGUGCUUGCUCUUCCUUAGAGGUGGCUGUGGUGGCCAAAGGAAACAGUGACACAAGUGUUCAGGGCAUGUCUGUCUAUAUCUCCUCACCGCUGCAAUGCCAUCAAGGAAUACAGCUUUGAGGAGUGGCUGUCCCUUACAGUGUCAGGACUUUGUGGAUGCAGUGGCUGGAAACAUAACAUGUAAAAAGAUUUCUUGGAACAUCGAACUCUGGCCACCUAACACUGUGGCUUUGUUGAUUAAUACCGGCUCUGUGGGCUCCUUCCCCCAUGACCUUAGAGGAUGGUGGGGUCUCAAUCUCGAAGAAGAGGAAGCACGAUUGUCAUCCACUGGGUAUUGAGCGAGAAGGCCAUUAUUGUUACGUUAAAACAUCUUAAUAGGUGGCAUCCAGCCUGGGUGCAGUGUGGCCUCUGGCAGCCACCCCUUGCCAAAGUAAAUGUUUAGAGUUACCAUAAUACAGAGGAGCUAGAUUUAAGAGAUUAUUUCUUGGUACCCGAAGACAUCUAGAUUUCGAUUUACCUUGCAUAUUGACUGUGUUUCUGAGUUCCUUUCUUCCUUUUUCUUUUCUUUUCUUUUUUAAACAUUUUUGGGUCUAUUCAGCCUCAUUUUCUCACUGAUUUUUUUCACGGGUGGCAGUUAUUUCUACAUCUCACUGUAAUACCCCUUUUUUGUCCCUAAAGUUUGGUAUGCAGUAAUUACAGAAGUCAUUGGGUAUCACGAUGGCAAACACUGGCCACAGUGCUCACUAAGCCAUGGCAGAGUUGCUGUGAAGUGGACACCAAGCAAUCCUGGCCCGAUAUGUUUCCCCUGUCGGAGAAAUUAACAACGUUGUUUAUUGCUGCUAAAUCCGGGCAUGAUGUAUCAAGAGACAUGCUGUCAGGCCCAAUUUAGGAUCAUCAGAUUAACUAUUGCAUGUGACAAGCUGACAUGUGCAGAAGGUGAUAAAUAGCUCCUGUUGAAUUCUGUGCUGGGUUCUUGUGGUUAGGGGCACAGGUGAUGAGCUAUACUGACACCCCCCCACCCUGCUGAAUCCUGCUUCUUCCCAUGGUGUCACAGAACUGAGUUAUCCAGACUUGGGUUACCCACACGCUCUGUGAUGCUUGUGUUUACACAUUAUUGUAUUGCUUGAGAUGGGUGCUGUUUACCUAGUUUUGACCCAACAGUUAUUUUCAACAAGUAUUUGUUGGGGACACAGGGCACUAGGGAGAUGGCUCAGCAGUUACAAGCACUUGCUGCUCUCCUAGAGGAUCCAGGUUCAAUUCCCAGCAUCCACUUGGAGGCUCAGAACCAUCUCUAAACUCCAGUUCCAAUGAACUGAACGCCACCUUCUAGUCACCAACGUCACCAGGCAUGUGCGUGGUGCACAGAUAUACAAGCAGGCAAAACUACUAUAUGCAUAAAAUAAAGUAAAAUAAUUUUUAAAGAAUUUUUAUGGCUACCCAAGGAUGUAGCUCGAUGGCUUGUCUAGCACCACCAAAAUAAAAAGAAGGCAUUUGCCAGGUUGUCGGGACGUUGUCAGUAGUCGGUCUCAGGGUCAACAACUGUCAUCUGGGAACUCGUCACUGACCUGCUUCUACACUUCUACACCUCCGAGUAGAGUAGGGCCCACUGCAGGGAAGCACAUUGCCAGGCCACAGGUCUCCUGUCCAUGUUCAAGCAGAAAAACACUGAGUAGACCAAGGAAUUUUCCACAUAUCAAGUCAUUCAGCCCUCAGACCCUGUGUUUUUUCCAGUUACUCUUCAUCCAUCAGACUUGCCUCUCUCCCUGCCCUGUCAUUUCUAAGUGAGGAGCAACCGCUUCCUCCCUGGUUCCAGGAUUGUGUCUCUCAGUACACCAUGCAUGUGUGCUGCCUGGAGUGAUAGCUCCUGAUGUUCGGCAUUCCCUCCAUGUCUGGGGCACAGUGCAGCAUGGUGGGUGCAUGGCUAGGAGAGGAAGAGUUAGGUGUUGUUAGCCUCAGCCCUCAAGGACCGUGGAGCCUGAGGUUCUGGGUCAGAAAUGAAACAAAAUAAGAAUCUCUCAUGUGGAAAGAUGCAGCAUGUUAUAGGUGGUGGUCACUGGUCAUUCUCAGCAGUGACUAUGAAUUGGUGUCUUGUCAGCUGUAACCAGCCCAUCUACCCACAGCUAUCAUGCUGUUCCACUGAGACGGACUGAUCCUGGGACCACUGGUAUUGAAAGUGUAAAGGUAUAGCAGCUGGCAAGUAGCCCAGCCUAGGUUUCCAUCCUGGCUUGUCCUUCCCACAGCCUGGGCAUUUUUGUCUGGCCAGGCUACGGGCUCCAGUGAGAGGCACCAUUGUAAUGAUAACUUUUUCCACCAGCCUCCUGAGUUCCACUGCCACAUUAGAGCCCCAAAAUAACACACGGAGAUUAAUAUUAGAUACAGUGCUGCUGGUCAAUGACUAGGAUUUCUUAUUUGCUAGCUCAGUCUUAAUUAUCAACCAUAACUACUAAUAUAUAUAUAUAUAUAUAUAUAUAUAUAUAUACUAUUUUUAAUAAGGAUUUAUCAACCAAUAAGACAAACAUAUACACAGAAGGAUUUCCCCCAUUACACCAUCUUCCCCGGCCUCCAUCUAAGCCAGGCAGAGGGCUGAAAAUAUUCUUUGUACCACAUCAUCUGAGGUCAUCUUCUUAUUCUCGUGAUCAGGAGGUCCUGGGCAUCCAGCAAAUGACCUCCUAUGGCACAUGUUGGAAAUCCACAGUGCACCGUGGCAUGGGACCAGGUAAAGGGGUGACCCUUGCCUCAGAGAAAGCCACAAAACUCUGUUCAUCCCACAAUGCUGUUUAUUGCAUAGCACCUUCUGGGAGUAUCAUCGGACAUUUCUGGUCACACUCGGGAGGUGUGUAAGGGUGUGAAGCCUCCAAUGGUGGCAUCUACAUGGUGUCUUCCCUAUGGCCAUGCCCUGUCUGGGAGUCUGCUACAUCUGGGUCUUGUACACCAGGCAAGAGUGACGUGGCAUAGACAGAAUAGCUGUGUAUUGCUGGAACUGGGCCUCUGUAUAUCUUCUGUAACAAGCAGCUUACCUCAGUCUUUUUAGGACCAUGUGUGUGUCUCAACGGCAAAUAAACAUUUGCAAGGUGCAAAACCUUGGCAGUUCA